rnacentral:rRNA from 1 species
GGUCAAGCGAAUAAGCGCACACGGUGGAUGCCUUGGCGGUCAGAGGCGAUGAAGGACGUGGCAGCCUGCGAAAAGUAUCGGGGAGCUGGCAACAAGCUUUGAUCCGGUAAUGUCCGAAUGGGGAAACCCACCCGCUUGCGGGUAUCCUGCAGUGAAUACAUAGCUGCUGGAAGCGAACCUGGUGAACUGAAAUAUCUAAGUAACCAGAGGAAAAGAAAUCAACCGAGAUUCCGUAAGUAGCGACGAGCGAACGCGGACUAGCCCUUAAGCUGAUUUGGUUCUAGGAAAACGCUCUGGAAAGAGCGGCCAUAGAAGGUGAUAGCCCUGUAUCUGAAAGGGCCAUUUCAGUGAAGACGAGUAGGGCGGGGCACGUGAAACCCUGUCUGAACAUGGGGGGACCAUCCUCCAAGGCUAAAUACUACUGACCGACCGAUAGUGAACCAGUACCGUGAGGGAAAGGCGAAAAGAACCCCGGAGAGGGGAGUGAAAUAGAACCUGAAACCGUGUGCGUACAAGCAGUAGGAGCUCCGCAAGGAGUGACUGCGUACCUUUUGUAUAAUGGGUCAGCGACUUACUGUUCGUGGCAAGCUUAACCGUAUAGGGGAGGCGAAGGGAAACCGAGUCUGAUAAGGGCGCAUAGUCGCGGGCAGUAGACCCGAAACCGGGUGAUCUAGUCAUGCCCAGGGUGAAGGUGCGGUAACACGCACUGGAGGCCCGAACCCACUCCCGUUGCAAAGGUAGGGGAUGAGGUGUGAUUAGGAGUGAAAAGCUAAUCGAACCCGGAGAUAGCUGGUUCUCCUCGAAAGCUAUUUAGGUAGCGCCUCAUAUGUAUCCUCUCGGGGGUAGAGCACUGUUAUGGCUAGGGGGUCAUCGCGACUUACCAAACCAUUGCAAACUCCGAAUACCGAGACGGACUGUAUGGGAGACACACGGCGGGUGCUAACGUCCGUCGUGAAAAGGGAAACAACCCAGACCCACAGCUAAGGUCCCAAAUUUUGUGCUAAGUGGAAAACCAUGUGGAAAGGCACAGACAGCCAGGAGGUUGGCUUAGAAGCAGCCACCCUUUAAAGAAAGCGUAAUAGCUCACUGGUCGAGUCGGUCUGCGGGGAAGAUUUAACGGGGCUAAGCACAGAACCGAAGCUUGGGGUGCAUAACUUUGUUAUGCGCGGUAGAGGAGCGUUCCGUAAGCCGUUGAAGGUGGAUUGAGAAGUCUGCUGGAGGUAUCGGAAGUGCGAAUGCUGACAUGAGUAACGAUAAUGCGGGUGAAAAACCCGCACGCCGAAAGCCCAAGGUUUCCUUGCGCAACGUUAAUCGGCGCAGGGUGAGUCGGCCCCUAAGGCGAGGACGAAAGUCGUAGUCGAUGGGAAGCAGGUUAAUAUUCCUGCACCUCGCGUAAGUGCGAUGGAGGGACGGAGAAGGUUAGGUGUACCAGGCGUUGGUUGUCCUGGGGAAAGGCGGUAGGUUUGGAUCUUUGGCAAAUCCGGGAUCCUUUAAGACCGAGCACCGAGACGAGCCUUUAAGGCGAAGUCACUGAUACCACGCUUCCAGGAAAAGCUCCUAAGCUUCAGCUUACGCAGACCGUACCGUAAACCGACACAGGUGGGUAGGAUGAGAAUUCUCAGGCGCUUGAGAGAACUCGGGUGAAGGAACUAGGCAACAUGGCACCGUAACUUCGGGAGAAGGUGCACCCUUUUUGGUGGCUCGUGCGAGCUAUAGCUGAAGAGGGUCGCAGUAACCAGGCCGCUGCGACUGUUUAUCAAAAACACAGCACUCUGCAAACACGAAAGUGGACGUAUAGGGUGUGACGCCUGCCCGGUGCUGGAAGGUUAAUUGAUGGGGUCAGCCGCAAGGCGAAGCUCUUGAUCGAAGCCCCAGUAAACGGCGGCCGUAACUAUAACGGUCCUAAGGUAGCGAAAUUCCUUGUCGGGUAAGUUCCGACCUGCACGAAUGGCGUAACGACAGCGGCGCUGUCUCCACCCGAGACUCAGUGAAAUUGAAAUCGCUGUGAAGAUGCAGCGUUCCCGUGGCAAGACGGAAAGACCCCGUGAACCUUUACUAUAGCUUUACACUGAACGUUGAGUUCGUCUGUGUAGGAUAGGUGGGAGGCUAUGAAACCAUGGCGCUAGCUGUGGCGGAGCCAUCCUUGAAAUACCACCCUGUCGUGCUUGACGUUCUAACCUGGGCCCAUUAUCUGGGUCGGGGACCGUGUAUGGUGGGUAGUUUGACUGGGGCGGUCUCCUCCUAAAGAGUAACGGAGGAGCUCGAAGGUACGCUCAGCGCGGUCGGACAUCGCGCACUGUGUGCAAAGGCAUAAGCGUGCUUGACUGCAAGAUCGACGGAUCAAGCAGGUAGGAAACUAGGACUUAGUGAUCCGGUGGUUCUGUAUGGAAGGGCCAUCGCUCAACGGAUAAAAGGUACUCCGGGGAUAACAGGCUGAUACCGCCCAAGAGUUCAUAUCGACGGCGGUGUUUGGCACCUCGAUGUCGGCUCAUCACAUCCUGGGGCUGUAGUCGGUCCCAAGGGUAUGGCUGUUCGCCAUUUAAAGUGGUACGCGAGCUGGGUUCAGAACGUCGUGAGACAGUUCGGUCCCUAUCUGCCAUGGGCGUUGGAGAUUUGAGAGGGGCUGCUCCUAGUACGAGAGGACCGGAGUGGACGAACCUCUGGUGUUCCGGUUGUCACGCCAGUGGCAUUGCCGGGUAGCUAUGUUCGGAAGCGAUAACCGCUGAAAGCAUCUAAGCGGGAAGCGCGCCUCAAGAUGAGAUCUCCCGGGGCACAAGCCCCCUGAAGGAACCAUGUAGACUACGUGGUUGAUAGGUCAGGUGUGUAAGUACAGCAAUGUAUUGAGCUAACUGAUACUAAUGAUCCGUGCGGCUUGACCAU